rnacentral:rRNA from 1 species
UACGGAGGGUGCAAGCGUUAUCCGGAUUCACUGGGUUUAAAGGGAGCGUAGGAGGGCAGGUAAGUCAGUGGUGAAAUCUUCGAGCUUAACUCGGAAACUGCCGUUGAUACUAUCUGUCUUGAAUACCGUGGAGAUGAGCGGAAUAUGUCAUGUAGCGGUGAAAUGCUUAGAUAUCGUCAAGAACACCUAUAGCGAAGGCAGCUUACUAGGCUGUAACUGACGCUGAGGCACGAAAGUGUGGGGAUCAAACAGG